UGGUCUACAACUGUACAUUGUUGCAAGUCGUUAAAUUUAUUGUAUGAUUCAAAUAGUCGACUUUUGCGUCGGCAUUUUGUAUUCAUUGGAACUGUUUAAGUGAAGAAAUACGUUUGUUUCAGAGGACUUUAUUGAGCACUGCGGUGAAAAUUUAUUUGCCUUGCGUAUAUUUUAUCGGGCGAUAAUUUCAACUAGGAAAUUAUUCUAGCCUUCGAAUAAUUUAUUUUGUUUACUGACUGAAGGGAAUUCAAUUUCGGAGAAUAUGAAGACUGAAACUUCGAGAACAUUGAAAUUUUCAUAUCAAUUUCAAUGUAGUACUAUCAAGUCAUUUAUAACCACACAUUGAAUACAAAAAUACAACUAGGAACUAUAAAUAACGUCUUGUGCCCUAGACUACGAUGCGUUUUCAUUCCACGAAUCGAUGUCGUGUAAAAAUACAUCUAAUCACGUUAAUACGUGACACUGUGAGAAAAUUUAAGAUGAUAAAUAACCAAGUUUAGUCAUUUACUGGACAUUGCAUAAUUUUUGUAAAGUUAAUCAGUUUCUUAUCUUCUCUUGUGGUAUGAAAAAGAGGAAUUAAUCUUGACUGACAAAAGCCAUCAUUAUCUGUCCGGUAAUUAUUUUUCUUGCAUCUCAUUAUUAAUAUCUUCUCAGUUGCGGGGGAUCACCGGCUGCUUUCACGUAAAACUGUGAUUGCCAGUUUUUUUUUUUUUCUGAACGUCGCAUUCUAUCUGUUGCCAAGAGAACUUGAGUGACCCAGUGAUAAAUUAUUUCCUUGAAUUUAUUUCAAGAGAGCUGCUGGUUAUUUUUGAAAAGACUGGCAGACAAUGAUCAAAUGUCAAUGCUAGAAUUGAUCUGGUCUGAUGAAUAAAUAUGGAAGACAACGAACAUUGAGAGAAAUAACGGGAAAUAUUCCCUUUAUUCACUGCGUCUUUGUCGAUGUUGGAAUACGUCAUUGGACCAGAGAUACAACAGAUGCAAAUGACAAUCGUUCGAUGUUUUUCCUCUGAACGAUCCUGUGAAUCAAGAUGUGAAGAGAUAAUUAAGAUGACUUGUGUACAAAUUAGUGACGUCAAUUCAUUACGUUGCCACACCCUCUCCUCGUGUUAUUGUUUUUUCAAUACGACCGUUAUUUUGCAAUAACCGCGUGUUGGAGUAGAGAUCACUCAGCUGUAAAAAUUUCCUCCGAUAAUCGUGUUACAGCCAGAUUAAUAGACACACACACCCCCAUGGCAUAACCUAACGCCAUUAUUCUAAACGUCAGAGAGUGACGAACCGCCGUUUACCUCGUCGACGUCAUCGAAACUCCAUGUCCAAUGGUUUAUGUCCCACUGAUGCAGAAUUAAUGGAGAUGAUGACUGAUUAAUAAUUUUAAAUUAUUGGUCGAUGAAGAGAGUCUAUCGGAAACCGUCUACAUUUGUUAAUGACGUGGUAAUAUUACAGAGGUUCUGUAAAAUUGAUGGAACUCAUAAUUUACUCAGAGAUUAAGGCGUCGACUCCGGAAAUUUAAGUGAUGAUUAUCGUCAUUUUCAAUAGACGUACGACUUUCUAAUUUUACUGACGAAUCGUCGUCAGUAAAGAGACAUUUUCUUGAAAAAUUCUAUUGCUGUUAAGUGAAAUUUCUCGGGAUUUCUAAUAAAAUUUCCCAGAAAAAUGAGGAACAAUUUAUGUUUUCCUCAAUGAUAUUAGUGGUGUCAACACUGAAAUUUUUCAGUUGACCGUCAAUUUACGCCUUUUUCCUGUGCUAAUCAUAGGCUUUUGCUGGGAAAUUUCUCUUCGUGUAAGAAUAUUACGAAAUAUCAGGAAAAAACGAUGUAAAAUUAUAAUAAAAAGCAUAACAAUUGCUAAUAA